rnacentral:rRNA from 1 species
UAACAAGGUAGCUGUAGGUGAACCUGCUGCUGGAUCAUUAACGACUAUAAACACAUGGUUUGAACGGCUCCGUUGGUUUCUGUGUGCUGCGAGCAAUCGUGUUGUCCGUGAUUGUGUCGACCCAGCACGACAGCCCAAAUUGUUGGGUAGAAUUAAUGAGCACUCGACUGUGCCGCCAACACCAUUUCAUUUUCCACAUUCUAUAUAGAAAAUAUUCUAGCCUUACCGGUGGAUCACUCGGUUCGUAGAUCGAUAAAGAACGCAGCCAAAUGCGAUAAUUGGUGUGAACUGCAGAUACAUUGAGCACUAAGGUUUCGAAUGCAUAUUGCGUCGUCGGAUUCCAUCCUUCGACAUGUCUGGUUCAGGGUCGUAAAUACACACCGCACAGUAGUGCAGUAAUAGCUCGAAUCACUAUAUGGCUCGAACGUGUUGACCAUUGGCAGUGUGGUGGGAGAUUUAAAAGCCUAUUUGAAUUAUCACCGAUACACACAAUGCCUCUCAAUUCCGACCUGAGCUCAGACAUGGGCACCCGCUGAACUUAAGCAUAUCAGUA